rnacentral:rRNA from 1 species
AACAUCGCCUUUUGAUAUAGGAGGCCCAGCCUGCCCAGUGACAAUUUAACGGCCGCGGUAUCCUAACCGUGCAAAGGUAGCGUAAUCACCUGUCUCUUAAUUAGAGACCUGUAUGAACGGCAUCACGAGAGCCACACUGUCUCCUUUAUCCAGUCAGUGAAACUAAUCUCCCUGUGAAAAAGCAGGGAUUUGAAAACAAGACGAGAAGACCCUUUGGAGCUUAAGACAAAUAAAAUUAUGUUUCCUUCCCCCACACCUUUUACAUCCAAUUUUACUAGUCUUCGGUUGGGGCAACCGCGGAGCAAAAAAAACCCUCCAAGAUGCCAUGGAACCCCCCUAAACAAAAAGCCACAACUUUAUGUAUCAGUAAACUGACAUUAUUAGACCCAUAAUUUGAUUAACGAACCAAGUUACCCAAGGGAUAACAGCGCAAUCCACUCUAAAAGUCCCUAUCGACGAGUGGGCUUACGACCUCGAUGUUGGAUCAAGGUAUCCCAGUGGUGCAGCCGCUACUAAAGGUUCGUUUGUUCAACGAUUAAAACCUCACAUGAU